rnacentral:rRNA from 1 species
UACGUAGGUGGUAAGCGUUGUCCGGAAUUAUUGGGCGUAAAGGGCUCGCAGGCGGUUUCUUAAGUCUGAUGUGAAAGCCCCCGGCUCAACCGGGGAGGGUCAUUGGAAACUGGGGAACUUGAGUGCAGAAGAGGAGAGUGGAAUUCCACGUGUAGCGGUGAAAUGCGUAGAGAUGUGGAGGAACACCAGUGGCGAAGGCGACUCUCUGGUCUGUAACUGACGCUGAGGAGCGAAAGCGUGGGGAGCGAACAGG